UGGGGAAUAUUGGACAAUGGGGGCAACCCUGAUCCAGCGAUGCCGCGUGUGCGAAGAAGGCCUGCGGGUUGUAAAGCACUUUGGUUGGGGAAGAAGGUUGGGCGUUGAAUAGAUGCCUGAAUUGACGUUACCCAAAGAACAAGCACCGGCUAACUCUGUGCCAGCAGCCGCGGUAAUACGUAGGGACCAAGCGUUGUUCGGAUUUACUGGGCGUAAAGGGCGCGUAGGCGGCAAUUCAAGUCAUCUGUGAAAUCUCCGGGCUUAACUCGGAACGGUCAGAUGAUACUGCUUUGCUAGAGUGCAGAAGGGGCAAUCGGAAUUCUUGGUGUAGCGGUGAAAUGCGUAGAUAUCAAGAGGAACACCUGAGGUGAAGACGGGUUGCUGGGCUGACACUGACGCUGAGGCGCGAAAGCCAGGGGAGCAAACGGGAUUAGAUACCCGAUGUAGUCCCUGAGCGGGCUGGCAAGGCG
rnacentral:rRNA from 1 species